rnacentral:misc_RNA from 1 species
UUGCGGAGGAGGACGCCGAAGGUGGGGCCAAUGACUGGGGUGAAGUCGUAACAAGGUAGCCGUACCGGAAGGUGCGGCUGGAUCACCUCCUAACAGGGAGACAACAAAAUGUUAAAUAUUAAUUUUGUCACCUUAGGUCGAUCGGUAUCUCACAUUCUUAAUUUAUUAAGAAUUUUAUUUCCUAAGUUUUUUCUAGGUCACACCCAUUACUUUUUCCUGGGCCAUUAGCUCAGGUGGUUAGAGCGCACCCCUGAUAAGGGUGAGGUCCCUGGUUCAAGUCCAGGAUGGCCCAUAUCUCUAUGUUGGGGGUAUAGCUCAGUUGGUAGAGCGCCUGCUUUGCAAGCAGGAUGUCAGCGGUUCGAGUCCGCUUACCUCCACUGAUCACCACCUCUUCCAUAAUUUAUAGAAGGGAAAUGUUUUGAGUUGUGAUCAAAUUCUGAACGAAUCUAGCUUCCUAAUAAAACUUAUUAAGAUGCUGGACUCAUUGAAUUAAUUUCAUUGUUUUCAGAGAACCUUGACAACUGCAUAGAUUAUUUUUAAAGACAAUAAGCAUCUUUAAUGAUGCAGAUUUAUUAUUUGUGCGAAUGCAUUAAUAACAAUUCUAUUAAGCUGAUGCUUCAAUUUUGAAGUUAUUGGUCAAGCUACAA